rnacentral:rRNA from 1 species
GACGAACGCUGGCGGCGUGCUUAAUACAUGCAAGUCGAACGGACAGGCCCUGCUCUUGUGGCGUGCUCGAGUGGCGAACGGGUGAGUAAAACGUGAGUAACCUGCCCCUGUCUUUGGGAUAAAUCCUGGAAACACGGGCUCUUAUCGGAUAGGAGCUCCUGCUGCAUGGUGGGGGAUGGAAAGAUUCGGCGGUUGUGGAUGGUCUCGCGGCUUAUCCGCUUGAUGGGCGAGUAGUGGCUUACCAAGGCUGUGACGGGUAGCCGGCCUGAGAGGGUGACCGGCCACAUGGGGACUGAGAGACGGCCCAGACGCCUACGGGAGGCAGCAGGGGAGAAUAUUGCGCAAUGGGCGGGAGCCAGAGGCAGCAAUGCCGCGUGCGGGAUAACGUCCUUCGAGUUGUGAACCGCUGUCGCAGUUAACGAGGCGUGAGUGACGGUAAUGGGUAAAAAAGCACCGGCUAACUACGUG